AGUGAACGCUGGCGGUAGGCCUAACACAUGCAAGUCGAACGGCAGCACAGUAAGAGCUUGCUCUUACGGGUGGCGAGUGGCGGACGGGUGAGGAAUACAUCGGAAUCUACUUUUUCGUGGGGGAUAACGGAGGGAAACUUACGCUAAUACCGCAUACGACCUACGGGUGAAAGCAGGGGAUCUUCGGACCUUGCGCGAUUGAAUGAGCCGAUGUCGGAUUAGCUAGUUGGCGGGGUAAAGGCCCACCAAGGCGACGAUCCGUAGCUGGUCUGAGAGGAUGAUCAGCCACACUGGAACUGAGACACGGUCCAGACUCCUACGGGAGGCAGCAGUGGGGAAUAUUGGACAAUGGGCGCAAGCCUGAUCCAGCCAUACCGCGUGGGUGAAGAAGGCCUUCGGGUUGUAAAGCCCUUUUGUUGGUAAAGAAAAGCAGCAGGUUAAUACCCCGCUGUUCUGACGGUACCCAAAGAAUAAGCACCGGCUAACUUCGUG
rnacentral:rRNA from 1 species